CUACGUAGGGGGCAAGCGUUAUCCGGAUUUACUGGGUGUAAAGGGAGCGUAGACGGCGAAGCGAGUCUGAAGUGAAAGGACGGGGCCCAACCCCGGAAAUGCUUUGGAAACUGUUUGGCUGGAGUGCGGGAGGGGUAAGCGGAAUUCCUAGUGUAGCGGUGAAAUGCGUAGAUAUUAGGAGGAACACCGGUGGCGAAGGCGGCUUACUGGACCGUAACUGACGUUGAGGCUCGAAGGCGUGGGGAGCAAACAGGAUUAGAUACCCUGGUAGUCCACGCGGUAAACGAUGAUCACUAGGUGUCCGUGGGUAUGACCCAUGGGUGCCGCAGCCAACGCAAUAAGUGAUCCACCUGGGGAGUACGUUCGCAAGAAUGAAACUUAAAUGAAUUGGCGGGG
rnacentral:rRNA from 1 species